UACGAAGGGGGCUAGCGUUGCUCGGAAUUACUGGGCGUAAAGGGCGCGUAGGAGGACAUUUAAGUCAGAGGUGAAAGCCCAGGGCUCAACCUUGGAAUUGCCUUUGAUACUGGAUGUCUUGAGUUCGGGAGAGGUGAGUGGAAUGCCGAGUGUAGAGGUGAAAUUCGUAGAUAUUCGGCGGAACGCCAGUGGCGAAGGCGACUCACUGGCCCGAUACUGACGCUGAGGCGAGAAAGCGUGGGGAGCAAACAGG
rnacentral:rRNA from 1 species